UUCCUCUCCCUACUAAAUAAGUCGACGGUGAUGAGAUUCCACAAUAUCAGUCUGGUUCAUAUUAUUCUUUUGAUGAUCAACAUUCAUGUCCCUCUUUGGUGUAUGUCAUUAUUUCUCAGCUUGUUGAAGUAAGAUUUGUAUGCUUCUGGAUUAAAAGGGGCAUCUGUUAAUUCCUUUUUUCUAUCUAGAUGAUUAGUUCUUCGGAUCAAUUUGUUGUGUUUCUCUAUGAGUAAGCCGAGGAUUGUCGUCUUGGGUGCCUAUGGUUAGCUUGAUGUUAUUGCACUAACAAAAGUAUUUCAGUGAGUUGACAGAUUCAGUGGUCUUAAAAAAAGGAAGAUGGAAAAAUAAAUCAUGCUCAGAGCUGUUCUGACCUUUGAGAGGUGCUCCAUUUACGGAUACAAGCUUGAAGAAGGGUUUAGGACCUCUUCAAGGAGUAAAUUAUUGGUGUGGCAACAAUCAAAGGUCAUUCAGAAAGGAAAUGCUCCGGCAGAGUCAUUUGGAGUGUGUGCAGUUGGCCUACAACAAACGUGCCGUCAUCUUCGACUCAACAGUAACUCAAGCCAGU